AACGCUGGCGGCGUGCCUAAUACAUGCAAGUCGAACGGUCUUUCUAUGGAAGCUUGCUUCCACUGAGAAGAUAGUGGCGAACGGGUGAGUAACACGUGGGUAACCUGCCCAUAAGAGGGGGAUAACAUCCGGAAACGGGUGCUAAUACCGCAUAGUUUUCUUGAUCGCAUGAUUGAGAAAGGAAAGACGGCCUUUGUGCUGUCGCUUAUGGAUGGACCCGCGGCGUAUUAGUUAGUUGGUGGGGUAACGGCUCACCAAGACGAUGAUACGUAGCCGACCUGAGAGGGUGAUCGGCCACAUUGGGACUGAGACACGGCCCAAACUCCUACGGGAGGCAGCAGUAGGGAAUCUUCCGCAAUGGACGAAAGUCUGACGGAGCAACGCCGCGUGAGUGAAAGAAGGUUUUCGGAUCGUAAAACUCUGUUGUCAGAGAAGAACAAGUUGGAGAGUAACUGCUCCAGCCUUGACGGUAUCUGACCAGAAAGCCACGGCUAACUACGUGCCAGCCGCCGC
rnacentral:rRNA from 1 species